NNNNNNNNNNNNNNNNNNNNNNNNNNNNNNNNNNNNNNNNNNNNNNNNNNNNCGGGAGGGGGGGAUGCUAUGGGGUUGGGGACACUGGAAUGGGGGAUGCUAUGGGGUGCAGGGACUGGGGACAGAAAGAGGGGGGGAUGCUAUGGGUUGGAGGGACUGGGGACACUGGGAUGGGGGAUGCUAUGGGGUGCAGGGACUGAGGACAGAAAGAGGGGGGGAUGCUAUGGGGUUGAGGACACUGGGAUGGGGGAUGCUAUGGGGUGCAGGGACUGGGGACAGAAGGAGAGGGGCAUGCUAUGGGGUUGGAGGAGCUGGGGAUACUGGGAUGGGGGAUGCUAUGGGGUGCAGGGACAGAAGGAGGGGGGGAUGCUAUGGGGUCGGAGGAGCUGGGGAUACGGUGCCAUUGGGGACACCGGGCUGGGGGGCUUGGGGUCAGGGACAGCACAUUCCCUGCACCUCCAAUGCUGUGUUUGCUGUGCUCCUCCUCCCCAGUGCCCCCAGUCACCAUUCCCAGUGCCCCCAGUGCUCCCCAUUCCCAGUGCCCCCCAGCCCCCAUUCUGGAUUUUCCCAUUGUCCAUUACCAGUAUUUCCAAUCACCAUUUCCAGUCCUCCCAGUUCCCAUUCUGGGUGCUCCCAUUCUCCAUCCCCAAUAUUCCCGGUCCCCAUUCCCAGUGCCACGUUCCCAGCGCUCCCCCCUCCCAGUGCCCCCACUCCCCCCACACACAUGGAAGCCAUUUGUGGAUGGUUCUCUCCCUUUGAAGGGCUGCACAGCCCCCAGCCCCACUGCUGCGUGGUGACCGCAGGGUGUGGGGGGCCAGGGGGGGGCAGUGGUGUCCCCCACCCUGGGAUGGGGAUGGGAUGUUUCCAUCCUGGGCUCAAUGAGCUGCAACCUCUGUCCCACCUAAACUCAUGGUGUGGGGGCAGAGAGCCCCCCCUAAAAGCUCAUGGCAUAAGAGCUGAGCCCCCCCACACACAACUCAUGUCACAUCCUGAGCCAGGUGAAGGAAAGGUGGGGAUGGGGGAAGGAGGCAGUGGGAGAGAGGGUCAAAGGAGAAAAGGGAGAGGGAUGAAUUGAGAUGGAGGGAGAAAAAGAGGGAGGGAGGGGGUAUGGGGGUGAUGGAAGGAGAGGAGGAAAGGAUGGGGAGAUGGGGAGGAACAAAGUGAUUGAGGGAGGGAUGGGAGGAUCAAAGGAGGGGAGAAGAUGCUUAGGAGGGUGGAGGGAAGGGUGGGGAGAUGGAGGGAUGGGGAGAUGGGAGUGGAAGGACAGAUGGGGAGAUGGAGAGGGAAGAGAUGGAGGGAUGGUUGGAAGGUGGAGGGAAGGAUGGGGAGAUGGAAGGAUGGGGAGAUGGGAGUGGAAGGACAGAUGGGGAGAUGGAGAGGGAAGAGAUGGAGGGAUGGUUGGAGGGUGGAGGGAAGGAUGGGGAGAUGGAGGAAGGGAGGAAGAGAUGGAGAGGUGGGAGGGAGGAAGGGAAGGGGAGAUGGAGGAAGCGAUGCAGGAGGGAUGUUGGGUCCUGGUG
rnacentral:lncRNA from 1 species